ACCAACUUGCGUAUCGGACGCGCGCCAGUCGCUCCCGGCGCGCGCAACCAAACACGAAAGUUAAAAACUUUUGCCGGCUGUGUUUAGACUGUGCAUGUGCCAGUGAACUGUGGUGGCUGUGUUUUUUAGACUGUGCAGGGUGCGUUUUGGCGGGAGCCGAAAGUCUCGAAGGGAGAUACUCGUAGCUUAACCACUUUACAUAAGCUGAUAUCGCCGAGCUUUCGUAAUAGUUGCGUGAUAACCGUACAACGUAUAGGAAAGUGUCACCCAAAGAAUGAAGAGUAAGCAACGAUGCUGGCAGCUCUCCUUUGGGUUGAACGUACUCAAGUCAACAGGAUGACGUUUGCCGUGGUGGUUGCGCUGGUGCUGGCGUGCGGAGCGCGCGCGCGCGCCGGCGAGCCGGUGUUCGAC